rnacentral:rRNA from 1 species
GACAGAGGGUGCAAACGUUGUUCGGAAUUACUGGGCGUAAAGCGUGUGUAGGCGGCCUUGCAAGUCGGAUGUGAAAGCCCCGGGCUCAACCCGGGAAGUGCACUCGAUACUGCAGGGCUUGAGUAUCGGAGAGGUUGGUGGAAUUCUCGGUGUAGAGGUGAAAUUCGUAGAUAUCGGGAGGAACACCAGUGGCGAAGGCGGCUUUCUGGCCUGUUCUUGACGCUGAGGCGCGAAAGCCAGGGGAGCAAACGGG